rnacentral:rRNA from 1 species
AAAUGAAUUGACGGGCUCCCGCACAAGCGGUGGAUCAUGUUGUUUAAUUCGAGGAUACGCGAAGAACCUUACCAGGUCUUGACAUACUCUGCAAAGUCAUGGAAACAUGUACGGAGGUUAACAGAUGUACAGGUGGUGCAUGGUUGUCGUCAGCUCGUGUCGUGAGAUGUUGGGUUAAGUCCCGCAACGAGCGCAACCCCUAUUGCUAGUUACCAUCAUUAAGUUGGGGACUCUAGCGAGACUGCCAGUGAUAAACUGGAGGAAGGUGGGGACGACGUCAAAUCAUCAUGCCCCUUAUGACCUGGGCUACAAACGUGAUACAAUGGCUGCAACAAAGGGUAGCGAAGCAGUGAUGUGGAGCAAAUCUCAUAAAAGCAGUCUCAGUUCGGAUUGAAGUCUGCAACUCGACUUCAUGAAGCCGGAAUCGCUAGUAAUCGCGAGUCAGAACAUCGCGGUGAAUACGUUCUCGGGGGUUGUACACACCGCCCGU